CCGGCACGGGUGAGUAGCGCGUAUGUAAUCUACCUGUAACAGAGGGAUAACCCGGAGAAAUCCGGACUAAUACCUCAUAGCACAUAUUAUUCGCAUGAAUUUUAUGUUAAAGAGACUCGGUUACAGAUGAACAUGCGUUCCAUUAGCUGGUUGGCGGGGUCACGGCCCACCAAGGCAACGAUGGAUAGGGGUUCUGAGAGGAAGGUCCCCCACACUGGUACUGAGACACGGACCAG
rnacentral:rRNA from 1 species